rnacentral:sRNA from 2 species
UUGAGUUGCAAAGAAUUCCCGAUAGGGUUCGCCACGGCGAAGAUGCCUUGUAACCGAGAUAUUAAAGGGGGAAACACAAGAAAAUG